rnacentral:rRNA from 1 species
UUUGAUCCUGGCUCAGGAUGAACGCUGGCGGUAUGCUUAACACAUGCAAGUCGAACGGAUGUUUUCGGACAAAUCUAGCUUCAGGUUGGGGACAACAGUUGGAAACGACUGCUAAUACCGAAUGUGCCGAGAGGUAAAAGAUUUAUUGCCUGAAGAAGAGCUCGCGUCUGAUUAGCUAGUUGGUGGGGUAAGAGCUUACCAAGGCGACGAUCGGUAGCUGGUCUGAGAGGACGAUCAGCCACACUGGGACUGAGACACGGCCCAGACUCCUACGGGAGGCAGCAGUGGGGAAUUUUCCGCAAUGGGCGAAAGCCUGACGGAGCAAUACCGCGUGAGGGAGGAAGGCUCUUGGGUUGUAAACCUCUUUUCUCAGGGAAGAACAAAAUGACGGUACCUGAGGAAUCAGCAUCGGCUAACUCCGUGCCAGCAGCCGCGGUAAUACGGAGGAUGCAAGCGUUAUCCGGAAUGAUUGGGCGUAAAGCGUCCGCAGGUGGCUUAUCAAGUCGAUUGUCAAAGGUCCUGGCUCAACUGGGAACAGGCAGUGGAAACUGAAAAGCUAGAGUGCGGUAGGGGUAGAGGGAAUUCCCGGUGUAGCGGUGAAAUGCGUAGAGAUCGGGAAGAACACCAGUGGCGAAAGCGCUCUACUAGACCUGCACUGACACUCAGGGACGAAAGCUAGGGGAGCGAAUGGGAUUAGAUACCCCAGUAGUCCUAGCCGUAAACGAUGGAUACUAG